AAGACCUCCCCCAUUUCAGACACCAGUCACAAAUCCCAGGUCACCACCUAUACUUCUAACCAACUGGCUGUAAAUUCACACAGUCCCCUUGUCAUGUUCAAAAAUUUCCUAGAAUGGUUCACAGAACUCAGGAAGGCACUUUAGUACUACUGGUUUGUUACAAAGGAUAGAACUCAGGAACAGCCAAGUGGAAGAGAUGCAUAAGGUAUGGAGGAAGGAGCUUCCAUGCUAUAUCCAGGAGUGCCACCCUCCUAGCUCCUUGAUGUGUUCACCAGCUCAGAAGGUCUCCCAACCCCAUAACUCACCCAACUCUGUCAUUUAGGGUUUUUAUGGAGGCUCCAUUGCAUAGGCACGAUUGAUUAAGUCACUGGAUCUUGGUGAUUAGCUCAAUCUCCAGCCCCCUUCCCUCCCAAGAGGUUCAUAGAGAAGGUCUCACAACCUCCAGAUCUCCAGCAUUGUCCUUACUAAUUAUUCUCUAUGCGAAACUCUCUCUUUUUGUGGUAAUUCUGGUCGUCGUGGGAUUUGUUUUCUUCUGGGAGAUAAAUGAUUGCAGGGAAUGAAAAUCUAAAGAGUUGGAAGUCAAUUUGGACUUGAGGAGACAUCACAUUUGCAGUCAGACUUCAUGUUCAAGGUCUAGCGUCACUGCUCCUGUGACUCUUUGAUGCCUUCAAGUUCAGGAGAAUCAUGUGAUAGUUUGCAAGGCCUGUUUCAAACUCUUAGCACACAAUUUAAUACCAUUGCAAAACUUAGCAUCUGGCAUCAUGAAUGGCUAGGGUGAUUUAUCCACUUUCCCCUUUACCUUAGUUCUUAUUUGCAGAGUGAAACAACGCUACUUCUCCAACUAAAGAGGAAGAUAGCUCAACAAAAGGCAAAUACUGCUGGGCAGUUUUUCUACUCACCUUGGGUUCUUUGGUUCCUCUGCUCACUUGAGAUAGUAAUCAAGUUGCAAUGGCAGGAACCACACAAACACCAUCUUCAAGUUGGUCAGUGGUUGACCUUUCAUCUCUUUCUUGCUUGCUAGAGAUUAGUGGGGCAGUUGAAUGGCAUGUUUGGACUGAUCGUUGAGCACAUGGCUAGGAGUCAUUUUUAGUAGUACUUGCAUUUUAGCAGAAAUUAUAAGUUGAUCCUAACUAAGGAACUGUCAGGUUCAUUGGAGACAACACUAAAGUUCCCCUUACCUUUGAGCUCCAAUGCCUUGACUCUCUUGUCUACAUUCUAGGAUGCAGAGGUUGAGAUGGAUUAAUGAUGGUAAGAGUAAAAUAUUGGUAAAAGCCUACUAUUGUCUAUGGCCACUGUGAACAGAGACCCUGUCUAUACUUGAUACAGAUGGUAAUGCUAUAGUUAAAAACAGCCCUUUUAUUUAAAAGAAGACAUUUCUUAUGUUAAGUAGCACGUGAUUUGGGCUGUUACUUACUUUUAUUUUUAACAAAAAUCUAAGGAAGAAAAUGAAUGCAUAAUAUUGGAGGAUAUUAUAUACACAUGUUAGUUUAAUUGUUGGUACAAACAGGCCCCAAAUUUUAGUGUAUUUAUACCACUAUGACUUAAUUCUUAUAUCAUACUCCAGUGCAGUUGGUGAGGCAGGAGCAGAGGGCUAGAGGGGUGUUGAUCUCCAGUUCAGAUGGUAAGUAGGAAACAAGAGAGAAAAUGGAGGAUUUUAUGUGGGAGGUUUUUAUGGGCUAGGCCUGGAGUAGCAUUCACUUCUGCUCACAUUCCACUUGGUAGUACUCAGUUACAUGGCUAUCCUAACUUCUACAAAGACUGGAAAUUGUAGUCUAACUGCCUUGGAAGAAAAGGAAUCAGGUUUGGUGCACAUCUACCCAGUCUCUGCUCAUAGUAAAGAAUAUGACAAAUACUAAGAUUAAUACUUACUCUUUCAGUAAUUGAACAUGAGUCAAGAUAUAAUUAAAUUAGUAAAUAAUGCCAUAUUUAUAAAAGAUAUAAGCUCUUUUGUCUCUUUCUAUUUUGUUAUAAUUCUUUCAUGUUUAAGAAAGGACAUAGAAUGGGAAGUUCAGUAAUACACAGACUAAAAAAUACUGUGUCAGAAAUUACUAAUUGCCUGGCCCACUGCUCAUCCUUCCCUUUCUUCUUCUUCUUCUUU